GCCACCAGGUAGAAUGGAAGAUAGAGGCAUGUCACCAUCCCAUUUCUCAUUUCAUCGGCUAUGAGCUCCAAGGAAGAUCCAUCAUUUCCUUACUAUCAGCAAAAGACGCCAUUACCAGCAGUGCUGAGACACCUAACCAAAGGCUGGCAUCAAGAUUAUGCUAAUUAACUCCAGUCUCUUGUUGCCUGGUGACAAAGUUUCACAGUUGAGAAGGAAGAACUGGCAGAAACAGGGCAACCCAGAAGAUUCUGCUCCCACCACAUAUGGAUCCGUUCAACAUCUCUCUAGAGUAGCUUAUGGCAAAAACUUGAAGACUAAUCAACAAGAAUAAACGACUGUGAAGAAGAAAAGUCCUCGGUUAGGCAUUUAGAAGAAAGAGAGUGUGACCCAGCACCUCCUGGGCCUCCUGGACCAUUCCCUGGCAUGCCAUGGACUUCCCCACAAAUCUACCAACUAAAGGAUUAUUGUCUGAUACAACAGGAAGCUUCUGCUGGCAGCUACUUCAACUGCUCUUUUGAAGGUCAUCGAUAAUCCCCCUGUUGCAAAAUUCAAUGGUCAUUUCUUAGUUCUUCUCUUGCUUGGCCUACCAAUAACAUUUGAUCACAAACACCAUUGACCACUCCCUCUUCGAAUAUUUGGCUUAAAGGACAUUUCCCACACCUGCAGUCCCUCCUAUCUUCCUGGCUGUAACUUCUUGAUUUCUCCAAGUCCUUAACUUCUAAAGGCUGGCAUAUUCCAAGGUACAGUCCUUCCCAUGUGUACUCAUUCACUUGAUGAUCUUGGCCAGAGUCAUAGCUUUAAAUACUAUUUCAAAUUGCCAUCUCACCUGGACCUUUCCCUAAACUCUAAAUUUAUAUACCCACUGGCCUACAUGACACUCCCAGCUUGACAUCUGGCAGGCAUCUCAAAACAUGUCCAAAGCUGAGUUCCUGCUGUCCACCACACCCCAAAGUUCUCCCUUCACUCUUCCCAUUCCAUUUUCCAGUUGCUCAAGCCUAAAUCAUUGGAGUUAUCCUUAGGUCCUCUCUCACACACACCACACUUGAUUUGGCAACAAAUCCCAGCAGACAUGGCUUCAAAACAUGUCCAGAAACACAGCACUUCACACCAUCUUUGUGCCAUCAUCUCCUUCCCCUCCCCCAAUCCAAGACAUCAGCAUCUCUCAGCUACAUUACCACCACAGCCUCCUGACUGGACUCCCACUUCUGCCUUCGGUCUACUACGCUUAUUUUUGACACAGAAACCAGAGUGAUUCUUUUAAAAUAUAAAUUAGGUCACAUCAUUCCUCCAAUACUGACUUCUUACUCAGAGUAAAAGCCAACGCCAUUACCGAGCCCCCAAGGUUUGCAUGAACCAGCUAGCUCUUUCCCCUCUCUUCCCUGCACCCCACACAUCCUGACCUCAGCUGAGCCCACUGUACUCCCCUGAUGGCUUUUGCUUUGCUCGUCCCUGGACCUUGAAACACUCUUUUCUUGGUUACCUGCAUCACUCCAUUCCCCACUUUGUUCAUGGCUGGAUUCAAAUAUCGUUUUUUUGGUGAGGGCUUCCCUUACCACCCUACCUCUAAGUACUUUAUCUUUUAUACUUAUGCUUAUUAUCUAAUACGCUUUUUGUUUCACUCAUUUAAAUUGUCUUUUUUCUACCUCCCUCAAGAAAAUGUAAAUUCAGUAAGGACAGGGGAGAUGUUGUGUGUUUCGCUCGUUACUCUGCUAAGCAGUAACCACCACAUUUAACAAGCUAUCAAUAAAUUGUUAUGAAUGA